rnacentral:rRNA from 1 species
CCUACGGGAGGCAGCAGUGAGGAAUAUUGGUCAAUGGACGAGAGUCUGAAGCAGCCAAGUAGCGUGAAGGAUGACUGCCCUAUGGGUUGUAAACUUCUUUUAUAGAGGAAUAAAACGAGGCACGUAUGCCUUUUUGCAUGUACUUUAUGCAUAAGGAUCGGCUAACUCCGUGCCAGCAGCCGCGGUAAUACGGAGGAUCCGGGCGUUAUCCGGAUUUAUUGGGUUUAAAGGGAGCGUAGAUGGGUUGUUAAGUCAGUUGUGAAAGUUUGCGGCUCAACCGUAAAAUUGCAAUUGAUACUGGCAGUCUUGAGUACAGUAGAGGUAGGCGGAAUUCGUGGUGUAGCGGUGAAAUGCUUAGAUAUCACGAAGAACCCCGAUGGCGAAGGCAGCUUACUAAACUGUGACUGACAUUGAGGCUCGAAAGUGUGGGUAGCAAACAGGAUUAGAUACCCUUGUAGUC